GAUGAACGCUGGCGGCGUGCCUAAUACAUGCAAGUCGAGCGAACAGACGAGGAGCUUGCUCCUCUGACGUUAGCGGCGGACGGGUGAGUAGCACGUGGAUAACCUACCUAUAAGACUGGGAUAACUUCGGGAAACCGGAGCUAAUACCGGAUAAUAUAUUGAACCGCAUGGUUCAAUAGUGAAAGACGGUUUUGCUGUCACUUAUAGAUGGAUCCGCGCCGCAUUAGCUAGUUGGUAAGGUAACGGCUUACCAAGGCAACGAUGCGUAGCCGACCUGAGAGGGGGGCGGCCACACGUGAAAUUGAGACCGGGCCAACACCCCAAGGGGGGGAAGAAGGGGGGAAUUUCCGCAAGGGGGGAAAACCGUGAGGGAGAACCUCGGGGGGAGUGAUAAAGUUCUUGGGAUCGAAAAACUUUUUUUUUGGGAAAAAAAAAAUUGGUAAUUAACGAUCCCCGUUUUGACGGUACCAAAAAAGAAAGCCCCGCCUAACUACGU
rnacentral:rRNA from 1 species